GUCCACACCGUAACGUUGGGCGCUAGGUGUGGGUCCAUUCCACGGAUUCCGUGCCGCAGCUAACGCAUUAAGCGCCCCGCCUGGGGAGUACGGCCGCAAGGCUAAAACUCAAAGGAAUUGACGGGGCCCGCACAAGCGGCGGAGCAUGCGGAUUAAUUCGAUGCAACGCGAAGAACCUUACCUGGGUUUGACAUACACCCUGCCGCUCCAGAGAUGGGGCUUCUUUGGGGGUGUACAGGUGGUGCAUGGCUGUCGU
rnacentral:rRNA from 1 species